rnacentral:rRNA from 1 species
GGGGAAUUUUGGACAAUGGGGGAAACCCUGAUCCAGCAAUGCCGCGUGAGUGAAGAAGGCCUUCGGGUUGUAAAGCUCUUUUGUCAGGGAAGAAACACCGGCUCUAACACAGUCCGGGAAUGACGGUACCUGAAGAAUAAGCACCGGCUAACUACGUGCCAGCAGCCGCGGUAAUACGUAGGGUGCGAGCGUUAAUCGGAAUUACUGGGCGUAAAGCGUGCGCAGGCGGUUAUACAAGACAGGCGUGAAAUCCCCGGGCUUAACCUGGGAA